GACAGAGGCCCCAAGUGUUAGGCGGAAUCACUGGGCUUAAAGCGUGUGUAGGCGGAUCGUUAAGUGUCUUGUGAAAUCCCACGGCUCACCCGUGGAACUGCUGGGCAUACUGGCGAUCUUGGGCCAACUAGGGGCAGCCGGAACAAGCGGUGGAGCGGUGAAAUGCGUAGAUAUCGCUUGGAACGCCGAAGGUGAAAACAGGCUGCUGGGGUUGUGCCGACGCUGAGACACGAAAGCCAGGGGAGCAAACGGG
rnacentral:rRNA from 1 species